AGCCGUUUUGGCAUUGUGCCAAGUCUCUUUUUGAAGAUAUGUGGUACGAGACUGUGAGAAAUAAGAAAAGUUUGUUGAUAAUAAACGAAGCGAAUAGAGAGAGGCACAGAGGGACGACCCCAAUAUCUAAGAGGCCGUGUUUACUUUGGCUCGUCGUCAUCUUUCGAACCAACACAUGCAUACGCUCCCUUGCGCGCGCGCUCCUCUGAUCAUUCAAUC
ensembl:ncRNA F46F3.6 ncRNA